GACCUGUACCAACUCUGUUCCUCCAGUUACCACACUUCUGCGUUUCUACCUUAAAUCACACAGGAAGAGGUUAACCCAGAGGCAUGGAUUUACAAGAGGAAUGAUCAUCUGUGCAAGACGAGGCUGGCACUACCACGCUCCUUUUCAGUGAGAAACCUCACGAUUCCUAGAGGAACGAGUGCCACAAUAACCUGUCAGCCCUGCAGGCCCAAGUCUCUCUGCUCACGAGGAAACUGGCAGCAGCAGCCCUCCCUGCAAAGACAAGUAAAGAAGAAAAAUCCAUGGUAUGAACAGCAGCUACAUCAAAGCAAGAAACCUACAAUGUGACACAGGCAAAGAAAGCAGGAUGGGGACGAGACCAGUGAACCAAACACCGGUGUAAUUUAAGCUUCGGGACAGCACACUCUUACCCUAGCUCUUAUCCAGCAUGAUUCCUAAGACAUCUGGAGAAGUCUUAACUACCGUUAUACAGUAUUUUCAUGUCUAUCCUACUCCUGCCUCUAAGCCAAUGCAGAAAAUUUGCAAUAAUUAAUAAUCCUGCAAACACCCAAAAAGCAGAAGAAGGCUUCAGGCACUUCAGUGAAUGUACCAGAAACAAAGGAUUCCCUUUAGAAUCCAUUUCCAAAUAAACUGCCAGACAGACUUCUGCUUUUUCUGCCAUAUCAUACAAAACGCUGAUGAAAAAUUACAUCUCUACCUAUGUGGCCCUUCCCAGCAUUCCCAGGACGGACCAUGCAAGAGGCAUUAUUCACACCAUCUACUAGGCCAAUAACAUACCUUAUUCCUGUGCCUAUUGCAAUAGGAGUGCGGGAAAGUUUUGAGAGUGUUUCAAUCACCUGGAAAAAAGAAAUUAACCAUGAUUAGUUGUAGAAUAGAAACAUAAGAACUAUCUUCUAAUCACAGCAUAUGAUACAAGACAACACAAUCUGGCUGUGCCAUAUACUGUGCGAUGUGUACUUGCACAGAUGGUCCAUGACAUGAUCUUCACUGCAUGAGUACUGAGAGAAACAAAGGGAAAUUUCUUAUAAGUUACAGCACUAGUAAAAGAAAUUAAGUAGAUAUAGAACCAGAUCAUGCAGUACUUUUAACUUAAAUGUUUACAUAAGCUUUAUCAGCCUUGCCCACUGCUCUGGAAAUUGUUUUCUGUGUUUUUGUUUUUUGGGUUUUGUUGUUGUUGUUGUUUGAUUGUUUUUUAGCUACAAAAACAUUUCAUUUGAGCGCUACCAAAGGCUGACCAGAAGAGGGAGCCAAACGACAAGUGAAAGAGCCCUUUCAGGACUCGCUUGGAAAGAUUUCUAUUUGCUAAACAGGAAAUUAAGCUAUACAUUUGAGUCCAUAAGCUCUGUUUAUUUUUAGAAGACUGAAGCAGCAUGGGAGAUCUCAUUUUAAGAAAAUACUUCACACUAGUUCUCAAGGUUAUACAGAAGAGAGGAGAACAUUAGGGAGGGUAAAGGGGGGAUGUCUGGUCAUAAACAGAGUCAUUUUGCUGUCAGCUGUAAUAAGAGAACAGCUCACACUCAACGUAGAAUGUCCUUUAUGUUACAGUUCCUCUUAUUUUGAGCGCUAUCAGAUUGACAAGUCUCAUUUGCUAGUGAGAAAAAAGAUGCCAAAAUGACACCCAGUAGGACAAUGCCCCCUGAACAUCCCGGGUAUUUCAGGUUGGCUCAUUUCAGCUUAAAACACAGAUUAAAUUCAAGUCAAACCUCCCAAGAAGAUUUAGAGAGGCAGUAUUAAAAUUCAGGUAUAGCAACGGAUGCUCCAUGGACAUUUGUGAAUAACAUUUACAAUUAAAAUUAUUUCUUGUCGAAGUUCUAAUUACAAGACUAGCCGGAUCAUGAAGUGCAUAGAGUUAAAAGUACAUCUCUCAGAGGAAGGAAAAUGACAUGUUCACACAAGAAAGUGACAAAGUAAAAACCGCACAGAAUAACCACCAAGUACAGAGCCUAAAUUGAAGUAAAUAACGGCCAAAGUGAAUCAAGUUUCUUUAGUAAACAGCAAAACUCCAAAAUGAACUGAAAGUUACACCACUCCAAUGGAAGAAACAUUUGGCGCUCAUUUAAGGUGUUUGGAAAACACAGCAAAAUCUGAUUUUGCUGUACAGAAAUGAUCCCUCCCCCUCCCCAAAAAAAAUACACGGUGUACAUAAUCAAAGAUGACAGCACCUUAAAACCCCAACAACAGGAGCACUGCAAUACAUACAGCCUAGAAGAAAAUGCUGAAAGCUGCAAAUAAAGUGAUUAAAAAUGUUAAUUAAAGAUUAUUUUAUGUUAUUUAAAACAUCAAAAAGGAAAAAGAAAAAUACUCUUAGAAUUUCUUAUAUGAAACCAGGUAGGUUGUGGUUUAUGUCACAGAAGAGCCACUGGUCUCUGCAAACCUGAAAACUUCAGUGCAGAACUGGGCAAAGACCACUGAACUCUAUGAGACAAGGCUCUACAGGAAGUUAGUCAAAAAUUCAAUAUCAAGCAAAGUGAUCUGUCCUGACAGAUGGGUGAAUAUCGACUGGCAAAAUAACAGGAAAAGAGGUUUAAUGGUUAUUGAAAAAGUGGAGGGCAAGCCUGGUGAACUAAAUAUCCUUCUCCUGUUUCAACGUGUUAUUUCCUGGCACACAAAAUAUCAUCUUCAAAUGGUUUCACCAGCCCACGCAGAUCCUUCUCCUAAAGGGAUUCUCACUUAACUGGAAUAAUCAAACCCAACACCUUACCCUUUGUACCUAGCUAUGGCUUGAUUCAAGAUAACAUGAAACCAUCUGGAAAAAAAGAAUGAAUUUUAGGAAGAUAAUGAACAAAUACUAUUCCCAAAAUGUACUGUCAAUGUGUAUUUUGCAGUUAACAAUAUGCACACAAACAAAAGCAAGAUUAGGAAAUUAAGAGAAUCUAAACUUCUUCAGAAACCAACGUGAAAUCUGCUUUUAAAAAAAAAAAAACCACAAAGGUGAAGAAACCAGAGAAAUGCCUGAGAAAAUACACAUAGAAAAGAAACCAUGGCUAGAAAAAAAAGGUGACAAGUAGUAUAUUUCACUGCUCUGGAAAAAAACAGAAGGUUUGUCACUGUAUGAAGAAGAAACAUGCUAGCAAGCUAACAGGGAGAAUUCUAACAAAAUCUGAGCAGCGGUUAAGAAGAAAACUGCAAUCAUCACAGCAGCUGUCCGUGUCUCAGUAGAGAUACACCGUUCCCCAGGAGGGGUUGAUGAAGUGUGCCUACACAAGCCUUAUGGAAGGAGAAAGCCCUGGGCAGUGACUGCUAUUAGUCCAUAUGAAAACAAAAUAGGUACAAAUCAAAGAUCACUAAUGACCCAAUGUUUUUAAGAUUCAAAUACCUAACUGAAAACAGCUGCAACUUCUACAGAAUACAAUUUGAUCCUUGCUUACUGACCACUCCUAUUAUAGCACAACUUAAAACAGCACUCUGACUAGAAAUAUAAUGGUUUCUAUCCAAUGGUAUUUUUGUUAUCCUUUUCUGAGGAGUUUUGUUGGGUUAUUUCUCCUCUCCAAAGAAUUUAGAGAAUAUGUCAGGAUACAUGCCACAGCUUACACAAACAAAUAUACGAACCUGUCAGUUCUGGUCAACACAUUAGGCCUAAUUCAACACUACACAUAUUUACUUGCUUCAACAUUAAGUGGGGGAAAGAAGGUUUCUGCAUUUCUCCUACAUGAAAUCUCAGUUCUUUGUUGUUAAUGCACUGCAGAAUUUUUUCAGAGUUCCCUUAUUUCCGGGUUCUGUAGGGAAGGUCUCAGUUAUGGACAGGCUGAGGUGUCAGAAAAGCUAUCAGAAUUAGACCAAAUUAACAAAUUCCACUAAAAUUACUAGACUAUCCACAGUAAAACAUCUGACUUCCAAACUGAGAGAGGAAUUUGCUAAGCAGCUCUACUUUGAAGCGCAGUGCAGCUGUUGUGGGGAAACUAUAAUACAGUGCAAUUCUGAAAUCCAAAAUUACACACUCAUAUGAAUGUUCAGAAGAUUCAACUGAAUGCUUCUCAUGUUGAUUUUUUUAUUGUUUUUUUUGUUUCGGUUUUUUCCUUUUUUUUUUCCCCCCCCCCACUCAGAGGGACUUAAACCUGUUUUACCCAAGAACCCUAGAUGAAUUUUCAGUUCUCUCUCGCAGCAAGCCCUCAAACCCUCCAUUCAGACAGAUGCUCCUGCCUAGGCUAACGUGGAUCCCAGCUUCAUGUGCAAAAUUAGCACUUCUUGCUUGUACAAAGCCCAGAACAACAAAGCUUCCAUGGCUGGGACUAUUCUACAACAAGUAACCCUACAAAGAGCCCCAGGAACUCUACACCCUCUGCACUCCCAGUAUUACCCGGAAUAGACACCAAGAAUUAGAUAAAAACCAGGAACUGGUAGGUGUUUGCAAGAGUCUUCCAGUCACAAGAGGAACCCCUCCCGGCUCAACGUUGCUGCCUCCCACUGACUAACUCUAUCACACAAAGGUUAAGCAGUUCUUUAGAAGUCACAUCAAAGCCACACUCCAAGAAGAUGCGAAUAUCCAAACCUGGUUCUCAGUACGCAGCCAGUUUAUGCAAAACAUGGCACGAAAUUCAAAAUUUGAGCCAUGCAAGGGGAAGUGUACCUUGGCCCAUGGCCCAGUGAAGGACACUACUCCUCAGCCUUGUUUCAGGCACAGCUAGCAAGAGCUACAGCCUCUCUCAGCCCAUUAAUUUCUUAUUUCAGUAAUUACUCCAACAGCAGAUUUUUUUUGGCUUGGUAUUUAUUAUUGUUUCACUUGACUUAGUGUUGUAGGUCAUACUCUCCAGUAUAUGUCAGGACUCUCAAAUCCCUUGCCAAAAUGUUAUUUUUUAAUUUCCUGCUGCCAUACUCUCCUGCAGCCAAUCACCUCAAGUACUCCUGCACACACCUACCACAGCAGUACACUAGAGGGACUAUUUUACUUCUUUCCAUAGCCAUCAUGUCUGAAUUUAGAAUCAGCCUCACUAAGUAUUUUGGUGGAGUCACUUCUUGAUCUUGUUUCUUAAGAAGCAACUUACAAAUCCUACAAUUCAAAAGCAGACAAGACACAUUUUAGAAGUACUUUUCCUCUUCUAUAGUAGAUAAAAACAUAUAAUUUUGUGGCUCACUGUUUCCCCUAACAGACUUGUCCUUGCUGCUGACAUCUGCUUUUAGGACUAGGCCGAUACUUACAUUGAUGAUGUUUAGCUAAACUGAAAAUACUAAGUCAUCUGCAAGUGUUGAUGGCAAUCGUUUCAGAAUUCAUAACAGUAAAAACUUAGAAUACACAUAGGCUAAAAAAAAAAGCAGUUCAGGUUCCAUGCAUGCACUUGAACAAGUAUGUGUUUUUCUAACACAGCAGAAGUCACCAAGAGUUCUCAACUAUAUUCUAUUUCAAGACUUGUCUUCAAAAUCUGGGCAUUCAGUUUAGUAUUUGAGCACUACAUUUUGUUGCAAAGGUAACCCUCUUCUCUCCAUUGAAGAAAAUUUAUUUAGCCAAUAGAUACAGACAGAAAUAAAGCAGUUACAUUUACCAAAGAAAAAAUAUUUCCCCCAGCCUACUUUUUGACAUGUUGUUUUGAAACAUGCAUUUGGUUUUUCCCCCAAACAGGAUUUUACUACAUCAAAUUUUGGGGAUGGGGAAAAAAAAAAAAAACUUUAGUUAUACAGGAAAACUAAUCUUUCAUAGAGUUGAUCAUCUCUUUGGCUCUGAUAAGUCUCCAUUCCAUUUUCUUUAAGAAAACUUCUGUGAUUGGUAGCUACAUGUCUAACAUGCUCUCUAUCUAGUGAUUCCCUAUUAACUACUUCACAAGUUGUAACUACUCUCAGGCUCAGGUCUAUGCACUUAAGACAGUCUCAUAGCUGCCUAAGACUGCCUAAAUUUAGGUAACACCAACCCAAAAGAAACUACAUAACUGCUAUUUGCUUCCUCAGAAGAAAGUCCACCUGUAGUUUGUUAUUCAGAAAGAAUGUUUUUCUGUCUAUGCUUGACUAGGUCUGAACAUGCCUCACUUUUGUAUGCAAUAUCAACAUACUGACCCUUUGUCACUUCAAGAAUCACUUCCUUCAAAGUCUCUCUAAAAUACGUUCAAAUUUCCAUCGACGAUGAAGGCACUUGUUCAAUGAGGUUAUAAAAAAAAAUGCCACAUUCUAUCCUGCAAGUCUAUAUCAACUUCCAACUGUUUUCCCCAUCAAAACAUGUCAGCAAUACAAAACGGAUUAGGAACUGAGACCUAAAGAAUACUAUUAAAAGUUAGAGAUUCUUGACGUAUGUGCCCUUUAAUAUUAACACAUUUCCCACAGCUCACGGGCAGAGUCUGAAAAACUAAAAGCUAGAUCAAGUUCCAAGUUUAUCUUCCUAGGAGAUGGCAGACAAACUCUGAAUUACUUGGGUAAUACCUAUACAGGCUGAUGUAUCAUAUUGAGUGUAUCAUAGUGAGGAUGCUUCCAAGCCAGUACUACCACUCAUGUCCUCACACAAAGCGGUUUUCCCGCAAAGCUGUUUUCACUUAUGCAUCCCAUGGUAUAGAAGAUAAAAAAGCAAGAUAACUUCAUUUUGUAUAUCUAUCAUUCAGACCUAAGAUCAAAUUGGUACACUUAAGUACGUACUCAAUAACUAACGUUAAUAAAGAAUGUUUAUCAUUUACUACUCUGAAGAAAGCAUCUGCAGUCUACCAGGCCCUGGAUAAUUAUGGAUCAAUACUUCGUUUGGCACAAAGAGGGGGGAGUGCAUCUCUUAGUAUUUUACUGUAAUCCAUCAUUUUUCAAGGCCAGGUUUGAUGGGGCCCUCGGCAACCUGAUCUAGUGCCUGACUAAGUGGUCGACAACUCUGCCAUUGGCACUCAAGUCAGAAAUAGAUGGUAUUUAAGGUCCCUUGCAAUUCAAGCCAUUCUAUGAAUCUAUGAUUAGCUUCCAGACCAAAACACCUCCAAGAACUGUUACAUUAACAUUUAUAUUUAAAUUAGUUGAUAAAGGUUUAAAAAAAAAGAUGACACUUGGCCAGACAAUUCCACGGUGAGUCCGUGGCAUAAUAUGCUUCUUAGAUGUGUUAGGUGUAUUACAUGCAUCAGUAAGUCAAUUUGAAGAUUUUCUGUCCAUUUGACUUGUUCCAGCAUUGUGUUGGUACUCCGUGCUAGUUCCGCUUAGUUUUAAUCAAAGCACAAGCCUCUAGGGAAGGGGGAAAAAUGAGGGAUAUUCCAAAGAGGCAGAAAAAAAAAAUGAAAGCUCCAAUAUGUAUGGCCUAAAAGUAAACCUAGAUUCAUACCCCUAAGAGGCCAUUAAAAACAAUAAGGUAGUUUUAACUCCCAGCUUUGCAAAUAUGCCUCUACUAAAUACUUCCAUGGCAUACACUGAGAUGCCUAAGUCAUACAGACAUGAACAUGUGAAAGAAAAUUUACAGCCUUACCACUCUCACCAGCACUUCAUUAGGAACACCAUGGUCUCCAGACCUUGAGCAUAUAGAAGUGUAGAAAUGUCUGUUUUUGAUUAAACAGAACUUCACAUAGCACUAAUUGUCAUCUCAUUAAAAUUAUGAAAUACAAGCUUUAGGAGUACAGCAGAAAAGUAUGUUCAAGUCAUUAAUUUCUAUUGGGAUGAUCACCAGCUAUAGGAUGCUGUUUCCUCCCUGAUAUCAUCUCCAGCUAUCCCAGUUUCAGUGUCUCUCACUGCCUGUGUCAAAUGUUCAUUUCUCCUUAACUACAUCCUCCAGAUAUAUAUCAGAGGAAUAUAUUAUUCUUCUCUCCCAUCUCAUCUUAGCACUGGCAUUUCAGUAGUAAAUAGCCAAACUAUCCCACUGAAUCACAGUAGAGAAAUUCACAACUCCAAGCCAAGUUCUCUGUGACUGACAGGAGCCCACCAGCAACUCUGAAAAACAGUUUGAAACCAGCUGCCAAAUGCUUAUGUAGAGAGGGAGCAAAGGUAAAGCAACUGCUGUAAAAGCUGUUCUUGGCAGUCAUUCAUGUUUCCUCUGAAAACAACCUCAGCUCCCAUCUGCAAGAAGAGACCUCCAUCAUGCUGCUGUGCUGGUUGGGGGAACAUCUGGUGGAUUAGACAUGGAUAUCAGGGCAUGCACGUUUUUUCCUUCCCUCCCAGGCAGGGGAUAGGUACCAUGUGGGCAUUGCCUUGGGGAAGGCUCAUCCUUCAUCAAUUUUCUUCAAGUGCGUCUCCAGUGUCUACACGCAUAAGCAAGUAACAGGAAAUUCUCUCUCUUGACAUAAAAAAAGAAAUAGCCAAGACAAAAAAAACCCUCCCGGGUGUUGCCUCCUCCUCUUUGUAGAUAAGCAAAGUACAGGGUUGCAAACUAGUGAGACUUCAAAAGUGCUGGAGAAUCAACAGCUAUAAAAGAUGCAAUGUUUUCUCUAAUGCAUUGUGAAAAGGAGAGGUGAGGCAGGUGGCUUGGCAUGAGGAAGGCAAACAGAGACAAAGAGGUCAUUUCAAGAAAACACUCUGAAUGUUAAAAGGACAGUAAAUAUAACACCCAUAAGGACAGGGCAGGGCUUAGCAUAUUUACAUACGUUUACAUCUUGUUGCACCGCUAGACAGAGGCAUUUAAUUCCCUGCUACAGUAUCAGAAGAGCACUAAGUUACACUAAGCCAUAUCUGAUGCCAUAUUCUUAAAUUACAGAUGUGAGGUACCUCCAGUGCUUUCCUCUAGGACUGGUGUUUAAAAUAGAAGUAUACAUGUAGCUUCCAGCAAUAUCAAAGGGCAGGCUGGAACCCACACUAACCAAGCCCAUAUCCCAUCCCGUUAGCUCACUGAACAUAUUGAACGUUUCAACCCUUUUGCAGGGAGCAAUAGCUCAGAUCACUCCAGCUCCUGAGUGGGAGCAGUGGGCCUGGGGCUGCACACACAGCUCCUGAACAUGGCUAACGCUAAAACAAAAAGAGAAACAAAACUGAAUGCUCUCCAGGAAUUCUUAACAGACAAUCUCAUUAUUAGGAAUAUAAUGAGCAAGUCUUUAAUAACCAGAAACCAAUUAUGCACACGAAUUUAUAGCUAUUAUACAAAAAUUGCUCUUAAAAUCUCAUUUUUCAAUUUCAGCCCAAGACAAGGCUACAGAUCCUGGCCCAAAACAUGGAAGUUUCCCUAAACAAUUCUGCUCUUACAAGGAAGUGAGAAAAACCAAACUGCACAAGCAGCAUAUUCCAGCUAAUGUUAGGUUUGCUUUGUCCAGAAGACCAAGAUACUAACCAAAGAAAGCAAUGGGGGAAGGGAGCUUCAGCAGCUGCUUCCUGCCUGCAGCUUGUGGUUUUGGUUCUAUGAAUACCUUCGAGCCUCACUAUGCCUGAAGGGCUUCGGGUUGCCUUUUUUUUUGUUAAGGUGAUGUUGCUUCAAGAAUGACAGCCUCACUUCAAGCACUACUUCAACAUGAACUGAGCACUUAAAUGCUGCAGCUGGUAAAUCGCAUGUGCAGACUGCCUUCAAGCACACUGCCAGUGUACCAACUGCAGAAUAAAAUUUUGUUCUCUUCUCUGA